rnacentral:rRNA from 1 species
ACGGGAGGCAGCAGUGGGGAAUAUUGGGCAAUGGGCGAAAGCCUGACCCAGCAACGCCGCGUGAAGGAAGAAGGUUUUCGGAUUGUAAACUUCUUUUAUCAGGGACGAAGAAUGUGACGGUACCUGAUGAAUAAGCCACGGCUAACUACGUGCCAGCAGCCGCGGUAAUACGUAGGUGGCAAGCGUUAUCCGGAUUUACUGGGUGUAAAGGGCGCGUAGGCGGGGAUGCAAGUCAGAUGUGAAAUCCAUGGGCUUAACCCAUGAACUGCAUUUGAAACUGUAUUUCUUGAGUGUCGGAGAGGUAGACGGAAUUCCUAGUGUAGUGGUGAAAUGCGUAGAUAUUAGGAGGAACACCAGUGGCGAAGGCGGUCUACUGGACGAUAACUGACGCUGAGGCGCGAAAGCGUGGGGAGCAGACAGGAUUAGAUACCCUGGUA